GGCCUAAUGGUCUAGUAGUAUGAUACGCGCUUCGGGUUUAACCCGCUUCAAAUUGAAGCUUAAGAUGUGCGUGGUCCCGGGUUCAAUUCCCGGUUGGGCCC
rnacentral:tRNA from 1 species